rnacentral:rRNA from 1 species
GACGAACGCUGGCGGCGUGCUUAACACAUGCAAGUCGAACGAAGUGGCGAACGGGUGAGUAACGCGUAAUCAACCUGCCCUUCAGAGGGGGACAACAGUUGGAAACGACUGCUAAUACCGCAUACUGAAGGAGGGGAUUGCGUCUGAUUAGCUAGUUGGAGAGGUAAAGGCUCACCAAGGCUAUGACGCACAACUGGGCUGGGAGGAAGAUCACUCACACUGGCAGUGAGACGCGGUCCGGACUCCUACGGGAUGGAGCAAUAGGUAAUGUUGCACAAUGGGGGAAGCCCUGAAGCAGCACCGCCGCGUGAAGGAUGUUACUUUUCAGAGCGUAAACUCCUUUGGUUAGGGAGGCGGUACCUAAAGAAAAAGCACCGGCUAACUCCGUGCCAGCAGCCGCGGUAAUAC